rnacentral:rRNA from 1 species
UGAGCUUGAUCCUGGCUCAGGACGAACGCUGGCGGCGUGCCUAAUACAUGCAAGUCGAGCGCAGGAAGCCGGCGGAUCCCUUCGGGGUGAAGCCGGUGGAAUGAGCGGCGGACGGGUGAGUAACACGUGGGCAACCUACCUUGUAGACUGGGAUAACUCCGGGAAACCGGGGCUAAUACCGGAUGAUCAUUUGGAUCGCAUGAUCCGAAUGUAAAAGUGGGGAUUUAUCCUCACACUGCAAGAUGGGCCCGCGGCGCAUUAGCUAGUUGGUAAGGUAAUGGCUUACCAAGGCGACGAUGCGUAGCCGACCUGAGAGGGUGAUCGGCCACACUGGAACUGAGACACGGUCCAGACUCCUACGGGAGGCAGCAGUAGGGAAUCAUCCGCAAUGGGCGAAAGCCUGACGGUGCAACGCCGCGUGAACGAUGAAGGUUUUCGGAUCGUAAAGUUCUGUUAUGAGGGAAGAACAAGUGCCGUU